AGUUUUAUGGCUCUUGAGCGUGAUGAUUGGGUUUUCAUGUUCACGUGUGACAUAUGCCUCUCUCAAAGAAGGGAAAGACCCA
rnacentral:snoRNA from 1 species